rnacentral:rRNA from 1 species
GACGAACGCUGGCGGCGUGCUUAACACAUGCAAGUCGAACGGAAAGGCCCUGCUUUUGUGGGGUGCUCGAGUGGCGAACGGGUGAGUAACACGUGAGUAACCUGCCCUUGACUUUGGGAUAACUUCAGGAAACUGGGGCUAAUACCGGAUAGGAGCUCCUGCUGCAUGGUGGGGGUUGGAAAGUUUCGGCGGUUGGGGCUGGACUCGCGGCUUAUCAGCUUGUUGGUGGGGUAGUGGCUUACCAAGGCUUUGACGGGUAGCCGGCCUGAGAGGGUGACCGGCCACAUUGGGACUGAGAUACGGCCCAGCCUCCUACGGGAGGCAGCAGUGGGGAAUAUUGCACAAUGGGCGGAAGCCUGAUGCAGCAACGCCGCGUGCGGGAUGACGGCCUUCGGGUUGUAAACCGCUUUCGCCUGUGACGAAGCGUGAGUGACGGUAAUGGGUAAAGAAGCACCGGCUAACUACGUG